rnacentral:lncRNA from 1 species
AGUUUUCAUCGCUAGACCAAAUGUACAACCGCCUGAUGUCCUGCUCUAGGAUCCCCUCCUCAACCCAACCGAUCUUGAGUUCCCCAAGCUUCCGACCCUGCGCCCUCCGCCAGGACCCCUGCGUACAAGCCUCUCACCCCGAACGUUGAUGUUGAAGCCACAGCGAAUACAGGUGACCGUAUCCUGAGCCCCGGGCAGAGGCAGGACCGAGCCGCAAUCUGAACAGAAAUCCAGGUCCGACUGAAAGCUGGAGCAAGUAUUGGCGAGGUCCAUGACAGACAUGCGGUCGGGUCUGAGGAGGGAGUUGGAAGUUUAUUAACAAAAGAGAGAAGAGUUCCUGUCCCAGAGGUCGUAACUAUUCUGUCCCAGGACCUAGGAGUAUAUAACCCGAACCCUCCUGCCACGCACGCCUCCUGCCUCUGCGACCAAGGAGCCGAAACGCCCGGAAUUCCCAGACAGCGUCGGGUACUAAAGGACUUGGAACCCUUUCCAGGGGCCGGUGAGAGGAGUUAACCAACUCCGUGGGCUAGAGCGCCAGCUCUGCGCCCGCGGCGGGGCAGCGAGAUAGAGCCGGCUAGAGCGUCAGGCUUUCGCGUUGACGAUUGGCUGUGACGUCAUAAUUAAUUGCGAACCGUGUCUCGGGAGCGUUAGAGAUGGAGACUAACGUCUUCCAAGGGAGAUUGCGUCUCCACUUUCACCCUGGUACUGAGAGGUUGAGCACAAAAUUGAUUGGCCUGGGGUACAUCAUCUAAAGAUCCUAGGAUUGCUGCAGGUCAGCAGUCUCCACUGGAAAAAAAGAUCUUGGCUUUGAUUUGUUGGAGAAACUGUUACCAGAAAAACAGGUCCCGAUCCCGACCCCAAAAGAGUAUUCUUGGAUCUUGCACAGGAAGGAAUUAAAGGUGAGUCACAGAGUGCAGUGAGAAGGAGAUAGUUUAUUGAAAGUUACUCAGAUACAGAGUAGGUGUCCUCAGAAAGCAAAAGGAAGAAUGCACCAUCUUUGUUGUAAACUCUUCUAAUGUAGGGGUUUAAUCUACAUAAAAGCUAAGUUAAAUGUCUAUGUGUGGGUGCUCUGACAGCAUGACAAAAUUUAGGACCUAUUGAUUUAAAGAAAGUUAUCCUUGGCAUUUUAGUUAGUAUAUCAAAGCAUGACUAUAAUAAUCUUAAAAGCAUAUAUUAUAAUGUGACGUCAGGACAUGUGGACAUUCUGUUGUCUGUCAUAGGCGUUUGUUCUUGCAGGCAUUAUUAAGUUGUUUAAUCAGCUGUAAACCUCUUAUGACCAUGGGUUGUGACUGGCAAGGAAUAUGCCUUGCUAGUUGAAAGAUGGAGUUGACUUUAAAAUGGUGUCACCCUGGCUCUCCUAUGCUUCUGUUUCCCCAAAAAAGCCAGGUUACUUGUCCUGUAGAAUGAUCCACAUUCUGAGUUUGGCUAAUGACAUUCUCAUGGUAUUAACUUGUUUCUUUAUAUGUUGUUUUUUCUGUUACCCACAAAAUAAUUCUUCUGAUACACAUUUGUAAUCUUACCAUGCCAGCAUCUGCUACUCUUCAUGUUACCAAAUUUCUGUUCAAGGACCACUAAAGCCACAGUCAGUGGACAUUCUGAGACCUCUAGGGGAGGGUGGAGAUGCUGUCCUUUAAUAUAGUCUGACCCAAGCAACCUCCCCACUUGGCAUGGUGAAUCUAGACAAGCUAAAGAAUUUACUACGCCCCAGGCCUGCACCAGCCCUCUCCUAAGACCUUGGGCACUCUCAUUUCCCUUUUUUUUUUUUCUAAAGGAAGUCAUAGUUUCUCAUAACCUUUGCUAGUGAUCCUGGACCUUGGUUGUUCCCUGAGGCUGUGUUCUCCACACUGCUGCCAUCACUGCUACAGCAGAGGUGCAGAAAGCUCAGGAGAGAGAAGGGAGGAAAAGCUGAAGAUUUUGUGUUAUUCAUGCUUUCCUGACUCCGGCGAAAGUGCUUCCUCCACCUGCAACCAUUUCUGUUUCUAUACUGCUGAGUCUUGUGUUCCCAAGACCAAGGGAAGCCCAUUUUCUUUAAAGCCAGUCACAGUUUCUGUUGGCUGAUGGAAUAUCUGUUGUCCAGCAGUUGUAUUCCUGCUCACAAAUGCAAAACAGUUUGAUGCCACGCACAUUCCAGGGCUUAGACUGGAAAUGCUGUCCCUUGCCCCUUUGUUACCUUCUGACAGGGAUCAGUCCAUAGUGUAGUUGGUGUCACAACAGUCCCGAAGAAGCCUUCCAAUAGAUACCCAAAUGUGAUUCAAAGUGGCACAGGCACACACCACGGUGCCACAUGGUGCCUAUGUAAAGCAGGUAUAUCAGGAAUGCUAAGCAGAGAAGUAGCAGAACACACUGAUCCCCAUGUUCUCAUUGUACAGUUGGGUGCAAUUAAGCUGGCACAAUGGACUCUUCUCAUGGCUACUGUUCCAGUAGUGUGGAUGCCCCCAAAUGCUGCAUAUUUACUAGGACAGCCAGGCAGAGACAGCUGUGUACUAUGAUACAACAGUAGUCCCUCUUAGAGGAAGUGACCUUGUUAGAAGUGGGAGUUUCUGAAGCUCUUCAGCUGUUACUGGCCUGCUCUUCCAUAGCGUUACUUCAGACCUGCUGGCCCAGCUAUCCACUCCGCUAACAGGUCUGUCUCUGCUAACAGGUCUAGCUCUGUCUCCUCAGCACAUGUUCUAGGCUCUGACUGCAAGUGCUGACUUGGGCUCCCAGCCCCACACAGACCCUCUGUUCCAUGAAAGGGCCAUCUAUGCAAAGUGCCCCCCAAAUGCCAAAGGAGCCAAUAAACCAAGGAACAAGACAGACAAAUCUAGUUGUCAGUAAAGAGUGUUUUAUUGGGGAACUUACAGACAGAAGCGUGGUCUUGGAUGGCAGGAAGACAGGUAGGUUUCUGCACUUAUUACCCCCACACCCAGGGCUUAUAUACCACAGGGGAAGAGUAUACAUGCUCUGUGCAAGACAAAGGCUACUACUGUCCAGAACAGGUAAGAAUGCUAAUGUGUCAUAGCCUAGAAUUUGUAUAACAUCAAGGUUGACAUGUUCUUACAAUAGGGAUGGUAAAUAAAGUGGGAAUCAGGAGUCAGUCCUGGGACUGGGGCUAAUCAGAAGUCAGCAUAGAGAAUUAGCAUCCAAGAGGGAGUCACUUUUCUCUCCACAUCCCAGCCCUCUAAUCCAGCUCUUACAAUCUCAUGGACUCACAUUUCCCCCAUAGUCCCUGAGCCUUCAGAGAGGGCUGUGGGUGACAUUUUGAUGGUGUGAGUGACACAUUUUAUCAAUUUGUUUUCUACUUGUUAAGCAGGGGCCACAGCAACAACACAAACAACAGGCGAUGAUAUGUAUGCCAGGUGUAAGACACAGAAUUAAAAAUGCCCUUUACCAUGUUUAUUCAGGAACCAAACCAAGAGGUAUAGAGCAGAACAACAAUAGGAACAGAAGACUAUGGGUGGAAUUAAAAAUGUUUAGUAGGUAUUUGGUGGGGCAGUUCUUCCCCAUUAAACAGAAUUACUGGUAGCUCCAUCUCUGUUGAUUAGGAACAUAGGAUUGUGGGCUGGGAGUACACACCAAACAUGUUGCCUGAGGGGCAAAGGCGCUGGUAUUAUGUGUAAGGUUACAGGGGCAGCAAAGGACCAUGUCAAAUGGCCAGCCAGGGUGCUUCUUAAAAGGGACUGUGUUCCAGUUUAUUGGUAUGUGGAGUGUUUUGGCCCAGACUUCAGCAGGAUCAAUGGAGACCACUUUAGUUGGUAGGGAAUUCCUUGCUGUCUGGAAAGAAAUGCUCUAUCCAACAUAGGGGAAGUUGCUAGUCCAACCCCCAUUCAAGUGUCUCCUCCCUGGCUCAAGAUCUUGAGGAGUUCUAAAUAACCUUUGCCAUUGGCCUUUUAUCUGCUCAGGUCAGAGAUGCAUCUGGUUGGACUUUCUUUACUAUUAUGGUUAAUGGAUCCAUCUCUGUGGUGGUCCUGAGUCAUUGGUGUGGUGCCAGCACCAUAUUUGUCUCAACUAAAUUAAGGUUUCUAAUGGCUUGAGGCAAAAUCUUUGUCUAACUAUGAAAGAUAUUGGAUUUUGAGAGUGCUCAAAACUGUGCCUUCAAAAUACCAUUUUUCCUUUCAAUCAACCCUGUUGCUUGGGGGAGUAUACAGUAAGUGAAAUACCCAGUCUAUGUCCCUUUCAUGCAUCCAGUCUUGGACACCGUGUCUGGUGAAAUGCAUGCCUCGAUUGCUAUCAAUAUGUGGAGGGUAUCCUUACAUGACACUGAGUUGCUCCAAGCCCCUGAUGGUGGCUGUUUGGUUUGCUCUUACAAGGGAAAGCUUGCAACAAUCCCAUGGCAGUGUAUACACAUGUUAGUGCAUACUUUCGUCUCAAGAUUACUGGCAAGGGUCUGAUGUAGUCUAUCUACCAGUCUGUCACAGGGGUGGCUGUCUUAUGUAUAUGUCCAGGUGUAUGUGGGAUGUGGCAGAGGUACAGACGGGAACAAAUUAAGCAGUUUGCUACCGCCACCACUAAAUCUGCAUAGCAGAGAGCCAAUCCUGCUCCCUUUGCUAUUUGGCAGCCCAUUCAUGCACUGAAAUCCCCACUGUGAUAUGUACCUAAUCAACUAGCUCAGUAUUCUAAUUUUUGCUAGGAUGUCUGCCUCCAUGUUUCUGGGAGGUGAAUCUGACCAGUGUGCUGAAGCAAUUAGGUCCACAGUGGGUUCCUGUAGACUUUUCCAAAUGUCUUUCCACAUAUCAGCUCCCCAUAAGGAUUUUUAAAUUAUAUACCAAUCAUCUCAGGCCCUUUGGGCAAGCCAAAUUGUAAGACCCUUAAGUACUGCCAGACUGUCUGUACAGAGAACUAUAGGUGGUGGCUCACGGGUACAAACCAACCAUGUAGCUUGGAGUUCUGCCCAUUGACUGCUCUGUUGCAUUCCCAUCUCAAACCAGAUACUGUCUGUGGUUGUGCAGCUACUACUGUCCAUACACAGGGUUACCUUGGCUCAAUGCAUCUAAGUACCAAGCAUUAUCAGGAAUGAGGGCCAUGCCUUCAUGUACCAUUGGAGACAUCUCCUGUGAGGGCUCCACAAUAGGGGCAGCACUGGACUCAUAAUGUACUGGCCCUAAGAUAGCAUGCAGUUCAUCUCUUAAGGGAUGCAUGGAGAAGGCACUAUGUUGUUGCAUGUAUGCAUGGCACUUUUGUAAAGUGGAAACUUGGGCAAUAGCUGAUACAGGCCUGGCAAACACUCCUACCCAGUCCUUGAUAGGAAACCUGUUCUCCCUGGUACCAGGAAAGCAGCAGUUAUGGAUUCAACUUGUGGCAAGACCUUCUAUAUCCCCAGGACCUGUUAUUCAACUGGGAAAUAGCAGGUUUCAGUACCCUUCCAUUAAUUGUGACUAAAAUUCUAAAGGAACUGCUUCCCUAUGCUGGACUUUAUAUUUUCAUCAUCCAAAAUUAUAGUUUAGUUUUACCUUUAAAAAUAUGUUUUUUGUUCUCAUUUGUUCCAUAGGUUUCUCCUUGAAAUUUAUAUUGUAUGGUAAGGUUUCCUAUUGUUUGCAUUUUGUGGAUUGCACGCCAAGGUGUGGUUUAAUGUAUUUCUAUUACCUGUAUUUUCUGUAAAUUGGUAGUUUGGUAUAGAGGUUUGUGUACAUUCAGGGUUUUUUUUUUUCUGUAAGUAUUGAUGGUUCUGUAAAAGGAAAAUAAAAUCUUGGGGCCCCAAAAUUACUAAGCUAAAGGGAAAAGUCAAGCUGGGAACUGCUUAGGGUAAACCUGCCUCCCAUCUGUUCAGAGUCGCCCCUCUGCUCACUGAGAUAAACACAUGUCUGAUUCCCUCAUUUGGAAAGGCUAAUCGGAAACUCAAAAGAAUGCAACCAUUUGUCUCUCAUCUAUCUGUGACCUGGAAGCCCCCUCCUUGCUUCGAGUUGUCCCGCCUUUCCAGACGGAAUCAAUCUUUAGCUUACAUAUGUUGAUCACUGUCUCAUGUCCCCUUAAAAUGUAUAAAACCAAGUUGUGCUCUGACCACCAAAGUUGUGCUGAGAAGUGACACCAAAGAACAUGGUGGCAUAAGAACUCCAAGGACCCCUCCCCUCCACAGCGGCAAUGUGCUUGUUGAAACACCAGUAUAAAAAAACUCGAUGAGAGCUGUGAUUGGAUUUAGUGUUGAUAUAUUUUUUGUAAAUUGUGGUAAAACAUGCAUACUAUAUAAUUUACCUUCUAACCAUUUUUUCAGUGUACAAUUUGGUGGCAGUAAGCACAUUUACAAUGUUGUGUAACCACCGCCAAUAUCCAUUUCCAGAACAUUUUCAUCAUCCCAAACAGAAACUGUACCCAUUAAACCAUAACUGCCCAUUCUCCCUACCCCCAGCCCCUGGUAAUCUCUAUUCUAUUUUCUGUUUCUAUGAAUUUGCUUAUUCUAGCUACUUUAUAUAAGUAAAAUAUCAUAUUUGUUUUUAUUUCUGGCUUAUUUCACUUAUAGUGUUUUCAAGGCUCAUCCAAUUAGAAUUUCAUUCACUUUUAAGGCUGAAUAAUAUUCCAUGCUUAUGUGCACCGUGGGUUGUUUAUCCAGUCAUCCUCUGAUGGACACUCGGUUGCUUCCACCUUUUGGAUAUUGGGUAUAGUGCUGCUAUGGGCCUGAGUGUACACAUAUCUGGGUGAGUUCCUGCUUUCAGUGCUUUUGGGUAUGCCCAAAAGUGGAAUUGUUGGCUCAUAUAGUAAUUCUAUUUUUACUUUCUUGAGGAAUCACUAUUCUGUUUUCCAUGGUGGCUGCACCACUGUAUACUCUCACCAGCAGUGUACAAGUGUUCCAGUUUCUCCAUAUCUUCACCAACACUUGGCCUAGUGAAGUUUACCAUAUUUUUAUGUCCUUAUUGGCAUUCCUUUUUUUUUUUUUUUUGUGAAACAGAGUCUUGCUCUGUUGCCAGGCUGGAGUGCAGUGGCACAAUCUCGGCUCGCUGUAACCUCCACUUCCCAGGUUCAAGUGAUUCUCCUACCUCAGCCUCCUGAGUAGCUGGGACUACAGGUACCUGCCACCAUGCCCAACUAAUAUUUGUAUUUUUUUGGUACAGACGGGGUUUCACCAUGUUGGCCGGGAUGGUCUUGAUCUCUUGACCUCGUGAUCCGCCCACCUCGGCCUCCCAAAGUACUGGGAUUACAGGCAUGAGCCACCAUGCCUGACCAGCAUUCCUUAUUUUUAUGUCCUUAUUGUAUAUCUUCUUUGGAGAAUUGUCUAUUCAUGUCUUUUACUUAUUUUUGAAUGAGAUUGUUUUGCUAUUGUUGAAUUGUAGUUCUUUACAUAUUCUGGAUAUUAAUUCUUUAUCAGAUAUGUGAUUGGCAAAUAUUUCCUCCUGGUCUGUGCAUUUUCUUUUGAUUCUCUUAAUAGUGUCCUUUGAUGCAAAAAAGUUUUUAAAUUUUGAUGCAUUCUAAUUUGUCAUUUUUCUUAUAUUACUUGUACUAUUGGUCACCAGCCAAGAAACCACUACCAAUUCUAAUGUCCAUAAGAUUUUCCUCAGUAUUUUCUUGAGGGUUUUACAGGUUCAAUUCUUAAGAUUAGUUCUUUGAGUCAUUCUGACUUAAUUUUUGAAAAGGGUGUAAUGGAAGGACAUGAAUUUUUUCCAGCAUCAUUCUUUUGCAUGUUGAUAUCCAGGUUUCCAGCACCAUUUGUUGAUGCACCAUCUGUUGCAGUGGGGCUGACACAUUUGUAAGAUGCAGUGAGCAUUAAUACAUGGGAGCACCAUGCAUUUAUUUACCUGUCUUUACUUCACAGUUGUUUUGAGAAGGCUUUCACUGACAGACUCAACAGAAAUGAAUAUAUAUGACUUCUUAUAAAAUCAUAUUCAAGUAAAAUUAUAAAUUUUAAAAUGUUAAGACUGGAGCAAGACUGGAACAUCACUAGACAAGCUGAAACAUAGGCUGAAAUGAAGGGUUAUGUUUACCUUGCUACAAAUUCUGUUGGCCCACAAUCUCUUAUGCUUAUUGCUUAAGAGAGCCACAGAGUGGGGUGAUAGCUCACAUAACCAGUCCCUGGUUUUCUGCUUCAGAAAGAAGUUUAAAUAUUCUGCUUAGACAGAGUAAGGAAAUUAACUGAAAGAUGUCUAAUGUGAAGUUGGCAUCUACAAAGUGAAGGAGUGAGUAGUAAGUGUAAACAUCAGGAAUCCCAGGAGAUUCUAUCUUUUUGCACGGAAAUGGCCUCACUAUGCACUGCUGAAGGGAGAAGGUCCCUUCAGGGGACCUUCAUGAUGAAGAAGAACACAAUAUGAUAUAGGAAUUUUCUGCUGCAGCCCUAAACUGAAUUGUCCUUCUCUCUAACUACAGGUCUCACAAAGUUUUAUAGCUUCAAUGAUUUCACCUGGGCCAAGAUUUUGGUUUUUUUUGAUGUUAUUUGUUUGAACUGCUGCCUGGGGCUUAGAAAAGUGACUUGGAUAUUUUGUCAAAAUGGAUUUUCUUUGAUGGAAUGUGAAAUCCGUAAACACUCUGCUUUCCUGCUGUAUCCCCAGAGCAGGUUGAGUACCUUGCACUUCUUCUCAGCACUUCGCUAGAAGUGGUAGAAGAUUUGGAGUUAGGGCCUCCCUCAAUCCCUACCCUUUCUUUAAUUCAGAGGAUCACAAACUGUUGGGAGAAGAGUGGUAUCUUGGGCCUCUAGCUGAUCUGAUGAAUAUUAAUAUCCAAUGUCCUGUAGUGAAGUCAUGUGUGCGUGUAACAUCACUUCUUCACGCAGUGUCAUAGGAAAGUGGGUUCCUGGACCCCAGGUUAAGAGCCUAAGCACUAAAGGCACAGAGCUAGAGCUCUAGGAGGGGAGGGAUGGCUGGGGUGGAACCUCGUCUUGUCAUUUAGUCCUGGGGCCUUUUCACUCCUUACAUGGUGGGUGGUGGGCGUCUGGCAGGUGCCGAUGUUGAUGGAGUCAAGGGAGGGAACUAGCCGGGACAGGGAAAAACAGGGUUGGAGAGAUAAUUAAGGUGGACGUUAUUUUUUCUGAGCGUAAGUCGUGGCUGGAAAUCUGGAGAGCCUGAAAGAGUAUCCCCCUACCCAAACCUGUUUUUUCCUUUUCCCUCAAGCCUCAUUUGGCCACAGGCCCAGUGUCAACACCAGGGGGCGCCACAGACCAUGAAGGCACCGUGCAGCUGGGAUUGUUUGUGGUCGGCUACUGGGUCCCUGACUUAACCAGGGGAGCCAAGACCCUGUAGCCAAGUGGCCUGGAUUCAACCUGCAGCUCAGGUCUUACUGACACUUCUCCCCCUGGUGCCUCAGUUUCUUAAUCUGUGAAAUGGUGAGGACAUUACAGCAUUUACCUCUGGGGCGGGUUUCUCAACAGCAGCACUAUUAACAAUUUGGGACAGAGAAUCUUGUGGAGUGGUCUGUCCUGUGCAUUGUGGGAGGUUUGCCAGCAACACCCCACUCACCCCCUCCCACCAAUCCCCAUGUGACAACCGAAAAUGUCCCAGGAUUUUUAGGUCUCCCUUGGGUCUAGAAGCUGCACUUAGGCAUUUUCCCACCUGACACUUGAGUUCAUCUCUGCUUUGGUCCACAUAAGGCCACUUUAAAAAAAUGUUGUUUCUUUAAAGAUUCUAACCAUCUUUUAAACAAAUCCAUUUUCUUCCUCUAUUUCUGCAUUCAGUUAAUCCUUCCAAACCCUUUGUUUAGUAUAUCUUGAAAUGUAUCAAUUCCUGUUCUAGUAAUUAACAUAUGUGACUUGCAUGAUAUCUGCUAUGACCCUUAGUAGAGCUCUGAUUCCUUUAGCACAGGGAAUGUGUUCUCGAUUCUGCUCUGGAUGAUGUAAAUCAAUUUAUUUUACUUUACUUGUCUGGGAUGUUGCUCCUCAUCUGUAAGAUGUAAAUGUGGAUAUGGCUUGGAUUACUAAGUGGUUUUAUUUCUUAAUUCACCUGACAUUUGUUGUGUGCCUGCUGCAAGUCAAAUACAUGGCAUGGUAUUGUUUCCUUGUUCACACCACAGCAAAUGAGAAAAUGAGACAUUAUAGCCAGGUGUGGCGGCACAGGCUUGUGGUCCUAGCUACUCGGAAGGCUGAGGCAGGAGAAUUGCUCCAGCCCAGGAGUUUGAGGUUACAGUAAGGUAUGAUAUCACCAUUGCAUUUCAACCUGGGCAACAGACCCUGUCUCUGAAAAAAGGGAAAAAGACCUUGUGAGCUGUCUACGUGUACUCUAUGUCUCAGGAGACUCAUAUCCUGUAAUUUUUCUAAAUGGCGUCUCCAUGUGGUCUUUCAUGAAUGUUUGUCUGGUAUUCUCUAUCCUUUUACUUUCAACUUUUCUUUACCUUCUACUGAAAUUAUGUCUUUUGUAAACAGCCCAUGAUUAUUUAUUUAGUUAUUUAUUUUUACCCCCCUGCACUAUUUGUCUUGUAAUUGGAGUGUCUGAGUCCAUUAUGUUUAAUGUAAUUAUUGACCUCAUUGGGUUUAAGUCUGUCCAUUGUCAUUUGCUGCCUUCUAAUAUUAUCUCUUUCUUGCUCAACUAUUUUUCUUAUGUUACCUUCUUUAGAUGAAUAAAAACCUUUGCAUUAUUGUAGUCUUCUAAGUGUCCUAAUUACACAUUCUCUUAUUAUUUCUUUAAUUAUCUGAGAAAGCAUAAUGAUCUGUGACUUAUUAUAACCAAUAGCAGACCACAACUUCCCUGACUUUCACCUACCUGUGCCCACAGCCCAGGGGAGAAUCAGUGCUCUGGCUCUGAGACACAGGGGUGGUGGGAGUAGGAGAGUGAUUGGAUGAUGAAUCUGUAGCUGCAGAGGCAUCUGGGCCCCUCACCUGCAUUCCUCAUAGAUGUCUCCUCCAUUGAAUGCCUGCGAUGCCCUCUCCUCUGUGUACUCCUGCCAGAGUCUCCCUAUCUCCACUGACAGCAGCUCCACCCUUCUGCUCACUCAGUCCAAUACUGUGGGUGUCCUUGAUUCUUCUUCUCACAUCCAUUAGCAAGUGCUGUGAGUCCAUCUUCAAAUUCAUCCAGAAUCCCUUCACUUCUCACUAUUUCCCCUGCUCACACCCUAGUCAAGGUAAGCAACGUGUCCAUCCUAGAAUACUGUACUCCUUUCCCACCAUUUUCCCCACUGCAUCACUGGUUCCCCACCUCUCAAUUCUGUUCUCAGCACAGCAGCCAGAAAGAAGCUUUCAAAGGAUGAGCCCUACCAUGUCCCACUUUUCAAAACUGUCCUCCCCAUGUCAUUCAGAGCAAAGGUCAACACCCUUCCCACACCCUUCAGGGCUACCUGCUCUA